rnacentral:rRNA from 1 species
AUUGAACGCUGGCGGCAUGCCUUACACAUGCAAGUCGAACGGUAACAGGUCUUCGGAUGCUGACGAGUGGCGAACGGGUGAGUAAUACAUCGGAACGUGCCUAGUAGUGGGGGAUAACUACUCGAAAGAGUGGCUAAUACCGCAUGAGAUCUACGGAUGAAAGCAGGGGAUCGCAGGACCUUGUGCUACUAGAGCGGCCGAUGGCAGAUUAGGUAGUUGGUGGGAUAAAAGCUUACCAAGCCGACGAUCUGUAGCUGGUCUGAGAGGACGAUCAGCCACACUGGGACUGAGACACGGCCCAGACUCCUACGGGAGGCAGCAGUGGGGAAUUUUGGACAAUGGGCGCAAGCCUGAUCCAGCAAUGCCGCGUGCAGGAUGAAGGCCUUCGGGUUGUAGACUGCUUUUGUACGGAACGAAAAGCCCCGGGUUAAUACCCUGGGGUCAUGACGGUACCGUAAGAAUAAGCACCGGCUAACUACGUGCCAGCCGCCGCAGUAA